GACGAACGCUGGCGGCGUGCUUAACACAUGCAAGUCGAACGGAAAGGCCCUGCUUUUGUGUGGUGCUCGAGUGGCGAACGGGUGAGUAACACGUGAGUAACCUGCCCUUGACUUUGGGAUAACUUCAGGAAACUGGGGCUAAUACCGGAUAGGAGCUCCUGCUGCAUGGUGGGGGUUGGAAAGUUUCGGCGGUUGGGGAUGGACUCGCGGCUUAUCAGCUUGUGGGUGGGGUAGUGGCUUACCAAGGCUUUGACGGGUAGCCGGCCUGAGAGGGUGACCGGCCACAUUGGGACUGAGAUACGGCCCAGACUCCUACGGGAGGCAGCAGUGGAGAAUAUUGCACAAUGGGCGGAAGCCUGAUGCAGAAACGCCGCGUGCGGGAUGACGGCCUUCGGGUUGUAAACCGCUUUCGCCUGUGACGAAGCGUGAGUGACGGUAAUGGGUAAAGAAGCACCGGCUAACUACGUG
rnacentral:rRNA from 1 species